rnacentral:rRNA from 1 species
GGGACAGAGGAUGCAAGCGUUAUCCGGGAAUGAUUGGGCGUAAAGCGUCUGUAGGUGGCUUUUAAGUCCGCCGAUCCAAAUCCCAGGGCUCAACCCGUGGACAGGCGGUGGAAACUACCAAGCUGGAGUACGGUAGGGGCAGGAGGGAAGUUUCCGGUGGAGCGGUGAAAUGCGUAGAGGAUACGGAAAAGAACACCAACGGC